GUGAUGAGGGUGAUGGUGAUGAGGGGACUAUGGUGAGGGUGUUUCAUCGUUUCCUUCUUCGGCUCUUUUAAACUUGUCACUUUUUCAUUUCGUCGUCAUAACUUGUCACUUUUCACGGUCAUUUUCACUCUUUUAACCAUCGUCGUCGUUAUUGACAUCAAAAUUUCAUCACUUCGUAGUCACCAUCAUCGCUUAUUUUAACUGUCAUCUUUGCUCUGUCCUAUCAUCAUCACCCGCACCCACACCUCCCUUCACUUUCUCCUUGUUCUUACUCUCUUUAACCAUCAUCAUCACUCACACAUCAAAUGAUUUCCUCUCACUUCCAUCAUCUAUAACCUUCAUCACACACACACACACACACACAACUUAGACAAUGCACCUUAUUUAUCAUACUGGUUCCUCUUCUUCCUUCCUUCCUUCUUUCUCUUCCUUCAAAAGACAAACCUCCUUCAUCCUUUCCUUCCACUCUCACACUUUCCUUACCUUUCUUCCAUUUAUUCCUUCACUUGUACUUGUUAUCCCUUCCUCCUUUCCUUUCUUUUGUUCCUUCACUCUCAGCUGGUCCUGCCCUGUGUGGGGGGGAGGGGGAAGCAGCUUUGUGGUCUUAAGUUGCUGAUAGUGAAGGUCUUGUUAGGGAGUGUAAAUAAAAGCUUUUGGUAAUAAAUUUGUCUAACUGAUGGUGGUAGUUUGUGUCAACCCUGUGCUGAGAGAGAGAGAGAGAGAGAGAGAGAGAGAGAGAGAGAGAGAUUACUGUUAAUCCAUUCACUUCUAUACAAUUUUUUUCAGUUGCAACUUUUUUAGAUGUUUUUUGUACUAAACUCUUGAAUAUUUUUGUAUUCUGAGAGAGAGAGAGAGAGAGGGUGUGGCUUUAAUCCUUUCACUUCUACAAUAUUUUAUCUUUAACCAUCAACUUUUUGUAAACAUUUUGCGCUUCUUUGGCUAUUUCUUCGAGUGUGAGAGUGGUCGGUGCCACCCACGAGUCAGCUCCAGCUGCUUGUCCCUUGCCUCCCCUCCAUACUUGUCACAGAUGCACCAGUCACCUCCUGUGUGUUGUGGGUUACCUUGAUAGCAGCAGCAGUAGCAGCAGCAGCAGCAGGAGAGGCAGGCAGCAAGGGAAGACUGCUGAGGGCCAAGGCAGUGUUCAGUGUGGUGGUGGUGGUGGUGGCAGUGUUCCCCGGCAGCACACAGCCGGCGUCCCCUCUGCUGACCCGCCCCUCAUGACCCGGCAAGUCUCUCUCAGGAUAAGAAACACAUGUUGGGUAAAAUUACUAGACUUUACUUGACAUUUUGAUUAUAAUACAUGGUGUCCCGUGCACACACUUGUGUCACACUGAGGCAGUUUGGAGAAAUAAAGAAACACAUAACAGUAGGAAUUUUGAGGCAGGAAUAAGAAUUAUUGACUCUGUGCAGCACACAACAGUUUGUCUAUUUUUAGUCUGUUAUCUUCCAAGAAUCAGUUUACAAAAGUGCCACAGUCAAACUUUUGGACUCCCGAUAGCGGUGCCUCCCCACGUGCUUGGCUUGCUUCCUCCACAUGACAGGUUUACACUUGCUCCUAAAAAGUCAACACGAACUUUAUUUUUCUCCCUGGUAAGAAAUAAGAGUAAAUCACACGGCCUCUUCCCUCCCUGCGGCACCCCUCCUUGAGGGACGGCGCCCUGCUGUGCUGGCUGUUGCUGAGGCAGCAGGCAGGCACCGCCAGGACACUAGCGUGUGCCCCAAGGUGCCUUUGCUGAACCCAGCCCCCAUGGCACUGCCCUGCAUCCCGCCAGCACACAGCAACACCCUCGCUGGCCGUCACACUUCCUACAGUUCUUAAAGAGUCUUAUAGUUAAAAUACAGCAGUGUUAUUUACAGACGGCUGGCACACACCACACUCACAUUGGUGGCGGAGGGCUGCGUGACACUGCGGCCAGUGCCAGCAGCAGAAGGCUGGUGGGCAGGAGUCGCAGCAUCUCGGCACUCUGGCACCCAACGUUUAUACUUGCUGUUUGUGUCGCUCGUCGCAGGGAAGCUGUGAGUGUGAAAGCUGGCAACUGUUUUUUUAAUACAGCUCCUGACAGCCACACAGUGACCCAGGACCGACAGCAUGACAUGACACCUGCUGGUAUAAGUGACACGACAACCACACAGAGCAAGUGUAGUAUAAACGAAUGAAUCCUUGGGUGCUUUGAGUCGUAUAAGAGUGAUGAUACAACUCGGAACCCACUCUCCUUCCAUCCCUCCCUCUUACACACACACACACACGCACACACACACACAAUGGGACUUGUUCAGACUGUAUAUGCAUGUUAUUUGGCACAUGGGAGUUACCGUGAGGGUUACCAUGGGACUGUGGACCGAUUCAUGUCGUAUAUAGCUAGGACUGAGGACUGACUUGUGGUGCUUAUACCUAAAGGGAGGCCAGGGUGUGCUGAUGGCCUGACACACUCCUUCCUUCCCUUUGUUUUAUUCCUCUUGUCUUUUGUUUUCCUUCCUUCCCAUUUUCUUCCUCUUAUUGUCUUGUUUUGUUUCCUUCCUUUUCUUCCUUCCUUCCCUUCAUUUUCUUUCUCUUAUUGUCUUUUGUUUAGCUUCCUUCCUUCCCUUUGUUUUCUUCCUCUUAUUGUCUUGUUUUGCUUUCUUCCUUCCUUCCCUUUGUUCUCUUCUUAUUGUCUUGUUUUCCUUUUUCCUUCCUUUCCUUUUUGUUUUCUUCUGCUUGUUGUCUUGUUCUGUUUUCCUUCCUUCCUAUUUUCUUCCUCUUAUUGUCUUUUGUUUUUGUUCCUUCCUUCCUUUGGUUUACUGAGUGACUAAAUAAGUUUCCCUUCCUUCCUCCCUUCCUUCAAACAUCUUAAUAUUACAUAGUUGAAUUAGUAUGUAUUUAUUAUUAAUAUUUUUACAUACAUACAGUAGUAGUGUUACUUAUUUCCUUACAUUACAGGCAACGAUACACUAACUGGCCAUUCACGCUUCAAUUGACUGCCUUAACACAACACACAACUCCCUCUCCUACAGCUGUGUUGACGCGAGUGUGUGUCUAAGUGUGACUGGUGAUGUGGUGUGUGUAUGCGUGUGUGACUGGCAAGUGUUGCAGUGUGGUCCCCAGUAAUGCCCAGUAAUGCCCCUCUCUCUCUCUCUAACAUCACACUAUGUCCACAGACCAACACUAGACUGGGAAGUGGCUGCCAUGACCCCAUCAGGCCCUUAGGAACACCAGCAUGCCAGGGUCCUUCUCCAGGGAAGCAAAGGUACUGCCCCUCUGUGUUGUGUCUGCUGCUUUAGUGAAUGCUUGCAACAGAACAGCCAGCCAGCCAGCACACCGCCUCAGUGAUGGUAAUGCCUGAGCCCCUACUCUGAAACGCUCUGCUCUCUCACCAUUAUUACUUUCAUAGGCCACAGAGAUGAUUAGCUGGGUUCUCAAGAGAGGUUCUCCUGUUCAUGAUGCAAAAAUCUUGUUGAUUUGCCACUAGAAUCAUAAAAACAUCCUGAAAAACUCACGUCACUUCAAUUAGAGCAUUUUAAAAGGAUGUUUCUGCUAUUAAUAAUGUAGAAAUCUUGUUAAUCGGUCGCUAGAACCAUAAAAACACCUCGAGAAAUCCGUGUCACUUCAACUAAAGCCUUUGGAAAGUAGUGGAGGUGCGGCAUGGAAGUGGUUCAGAGUACAGUCCCUGAGCAGAGCCAGGCACCAGGAGGGCAGUAAGUCAGGAUGUCUUUUCUGUUGGCUUCAUUACUUAUGUUUUCUGAAGGAUUACUGGCUGAUGGCUCAGUAUUUGCUUCUAAGAUUUUUUUUUCUUUAAAGAUUUGUAACUUUUUUUUUCAGUAUCUGACUUUCUUCACUGUCUUUCAUGUUCUGGGUGUGUGUAGUGUCAGGUAGGCACAUGGUCACCCACACACACACACACACACACACACACACACACACACACACACACACACACACACACACACACACACACACACACACACAGCGUCCUCCCCAGAUUGCUUUGUUUACUUGCCACUCAUUCAGCAAUGCACUUCUCACCAUUUCCUCACUCCCCACCAGCCAUUGUGUGCCUGUCUCCUUCCUCUCUCAGCUCAACCUUUCUGUGGUCAGUGUGUGUGUCUCCUGUGGGCAACCUUGUGUCUGCACCUUGCUUACAGUACAAAUACUCUCAUCUCUAACAAUAACUCACUUAAGUCAAUCUACAUCACUUAGUACACUUUAAUUAUCCUCUUAAACAGUACCUAUCAAGUGGCCUAAGUCUUGCACCUUUCUAACUGCUAAUAACAUGCUAUGUACACUCUCACAACACUUGCACAACAACUACAACUCCUGCACUCAGCCAAGGACACACCCACCACACUGCACAAUGCACUCUUAAGCUGGCCUCACACUGCCACACUGAGGGCUAGGAGUUCCUCAGGCCUGGCACCAUCCUCAGUGUGGUCAACUCUUCCCCAGCCACCCCCUGCCACAUGCCCCAGCUUAGACACACAGUUGUGGCAUCAAGCUUAGGGUUGCUGCAACAAGCCUUCGCCAGUUGCUCAGAAGUACACAGCUUGGUUCAUAGUAACUUCCCUCAAGCUUCUCAACAUUUCGUUCCCAGUAAUCAAAACUCGUCAACACAUUCUGAACAUUUCUCAGUUAUUCAUCACCAUUCCCUUGCAGUAUCUCAUCUGUGACAUCAUAAUCUUCGCUACAAACUUGUCAGUACACUCUUAAACAUUCCUGUCAACACCACACACUCCCUCACUACACCAAGGACACACACACACACACACACACACACACACACACACACACACACACACACACACACACACACACACACACACACACACACACACACACACACACACACACACACACAC